AUAUAAAACCGGAAGUAGACAAAUUACAAACAUGGCUGCCUUAUUGAGGUGAAAUGACAACAAACUUUUUAAUCUGUUAAUUCUCAUUGUACCAUAUUUACGCAAGACUUCAGCUUUCAGUUCUUGAAAAUUGUCUUUCUUCUACCAGAAACUAAUUAUAUCUUGCAUUUCAUGGUCCAAAUAUGUCAGAGAGCAGUUGCAGAAUAUUGCAUUUUUAUGCAGUUAAGCUGCAUUAUGCGAGCACCCUAGAUUUGUGUUCUACCCAAUAAAUCCUGAAAUACUUGCCAUUGUUAUUAUCUAGCUUGUUACUAUGUUAUAUAUAACUAAUUGAACACUUUUUUAAUACUUUUUAUUCUGGAUUACAAAAAAAAUGACCAGAAAAACCUUAAAUGAUCGUCGAUUUAUCCAAAAGUUUUAAAGUUACACAUAGGAAGUAGUGCUUAUUAAGAAUCCUUGUGUAGUUCAUUAUGACUUGUGCUUUUAGCUAAGAUGUCAAAGAACAAUUGUAUGAAAUAUUUAAUCGCCGAAAAUCUCUGAAGACAAGCAGUUUAGAUUUCCCAAAUGACAAAAGUCGUAGGAAUAUUGUUUGUCAUCAAUACGUAGUACAACUACGUCAGUAGUCUAUUAUAUAAUUCAACUGUUCAUGCUGUUGGCGGCAAUUUCAAAUUAGAAAAAGAAAUUUUCGUAGCUUUUCAAUUUGGAGGCAUGUGUACAAAUUAGCGGUGGUCCGAGACCUUCCACUUUUGCAAGAAGAAUUUCGACUAGGAUAGUUGGUUUCUAGCUACGCCCGACGUAGUCGCCUUACAUUUGAAAGAAAAUAAGAAAUUACUUUGCAAACCUUUUCACCAUGUUCACCCGAUGUUCACCAGUCUCCAAUUAAACGAACUAAAAACUUAUUUUUAUCAUUAUUAUUCAUGACGGCGAUGUUCAUUUUGUUCAACCGCUAGCUUUAUACAGAAAUCGCCGACAAAUAUUGUAUAAAUUCGAGUAAAAUCGUAUCUGAUUGACAAAAACAACAUUGUAAACACAUAACAAUGCGGCCGUGAAGACAAAAUUUUUACAAAAUCGGAUCCGAUUCCGGAAGCGGAUAAGGGUAAUUCCGGGUUUGACGGAUCAUUUACAAAAUAAAUCCAAGCAGGUGAAAAAAUACAUCUAUGCAUGGUAAAUGAAUAUAAUUAUUGUAAACCAAAAGAUAUAUGUAAAAGAAAGAAGAAGCAGAAAAAUAUUUUAUUCAGAAAACUAAAAAUUACUUUUUGAUAAUUUUAAAUUUAAAAAAUCCAGUACAACGUGACAGCUGGGAACAGUAUAUCUAACAAUAUACAUGUUCAUGUUCAUGGUCACAGUCUAAAUUUUCUUUAUAAAUGAUAAAUGAUGAUAAUGCAUGUGAGAUGCUUUUAAAGUGUAAACAUAUUGCUGAAAUUUCGAGGAGUUAUUUGUUUUUUUCUCAAUUUUGAAGGGUCAAGUACCUGAAAGUUUCAUUCUUUAUUUUCACAAAUAAUGCAACUAUAUUAUAUAUACCUUAAUGUAAGUAAAUCAUAUGAUAUAUAGGUGGCAUUCUUUGGGCCACUGUUCCCCCUCCUGUUUGAUAACUUGGAAAUGGUCGAGCUCCCCACCCCUAAACCAUAUGAGGGGCAGAUCCAGGAUUUUAGGUUAGGAGGGGCGCAAACUUAAAUUUUCGCCGAGCAGAGCAAGGCUAUAAAUAAAAAAAUUGAGGUAAAUUAUCGGAAUUUUCUUUAUUAAGCUGAGAACAACCCAUGCUUUGCAAAUUUAAGGGGGGUGCAAGCCCGCAACCCUCCCCCGUCGGAAUCUGCCCCUGCAUAUAUUCAAGUAUAGGACAUAUAUAAUUAAAUAAAAUGAAAUAUAGGGGUGUCCCUGGAGUUACCCCACCCCUUCCUGUUUGAGAACUUGGAAACAGUCGAGAUCCACACCCCUUAACCAUGUAUAUUCAUGUUUGUGACAAUAUGAAAAAUCAAAUGAAAUAUAGGAAGAGUCGCUAGGGGUCACCCCACCCCUCCUGUUUUUAAAUUUAAAAUGGUUGAGAUCCCCAUCCCUAAACCAUAUAUAUUCAUGUAUGGGACAAUAUAACAAAUCAGAUGAAAGAUAGGGGAGUCCCCUAGGUCAUUGUUCACCCUUCCUUUUGAGAACUUGGAAAUGGUCAAGAUCCUUACCCCUAAACCAUAUAUACUCGUGUAUGGGACAAUAUAACAAAUCAAAUGAAAUAUAAGAGGAAGUCCCGUGGUCAUCCAACCCUGUGUUUGAGAACUUGAAAACGGUCGAUCCCCACACAAAACAAUAUAUAUUCAUGUAUGGAUCAAUAUAACUAAUUAAAUGAAAUAUAGGGGAGUCCCUUGGGUCACCCUACCCUUCCUGUUUGAGAACUUGGAAACCAAUGAGACCCCCACCCCUAAACCAUAUAUAUACAUGUAUGGGACAAUAUAACAAAUAAAAUGAAAUGUAGGGGAAGUCCCUAGGGUCACCCUACCCCCAGUGGCGGAUCCAGAUUUUUUCAUAAGUGGGGCCCACUGACUGACCUAAGAGGGGCCCGCUCCAGUGAUUCCCUAUAUAAGCAACCAAAUUUUUUCCCAAAAAGAGGGGGGGGGCAGGCCCCCUGCCCCCCCAAUUCUUUGCCUACCCCUACCUGUUUGAGAACUUGAAAACCGUUGAGAUCCCCACCCCUAAAUUAUAUAUAUUAUGUAUGGGACAAAAUAACAAAUCAUUUACAUUUACUAUGGGCAAGUCAGUCAGACCUCAUCUUUGAUCCCUGUUGUAGUGAACAUUUGUCUGAUUCGUGUCUCAUAACUUUUGUACUAUAGAACACAAACUCAGUUUUCUUUCCAGGGAAACCAGUCCAUUCAUACUAUUACAUGUUCAUACUACGCCAAAUUGAAACUUCUAGCAGUCAAAAACCAAGGUUAACUACCAAGUAGAACAACUGCAAUCAUUGGGAACUGUACCACUGCAGACUCACCAUAAAAUAUACAUUGAUAUAUGCAUUGCUUUUGAAACCUUGAUAACAUAUAAAUUAUUUGCCUUAAUAGAUAAAUCAUUAGAUAAACAUGAAUGUACUAUAUAUGAAUGUUUAAUGUUGAGGCAACAUUGCCACAGUUUCAUAAUUACGGUUGCCUUUUUUUGGUUAACUGCCUUCAGCGCUUACAGCGCUUUGAUUUGUCCUUUGGCUUUGGGGUCCCAGUUAAUAAAUAGGUCAAGGAUAGUUUUACGAUUAGGUCUUGUGUUAGGAUUAUGUAUGUUAUAUAAGAUUGGUUUAUUAUUUAAAGCUAUUUCAUUUAUUUUGGUUGUCCUUCCUAAUAGUAAAUCUGUUCCGCUUGACCUGAGAAUCUGUGCCAGUUAAACUUUUGACCUCAUACAACAUCAGAUAUUUUCUAUUGUUAUAUCAAAAAUUUACAGGAAUCUUCACGAUGUCCAGUAAUGACAGACAAAUAGCGAUAAGGCAGUAACUCAUCAUAGAUACCAUGACUAAAUUUUGUACAUACGCCAGACACGCAUUUCGGCUACAAAAGACCCAUCAGUGACGCUUGAAUCUAAAAAGUAAAAGACCAUAGCAUUAGGUCUUUUGGUUGUGUGUCAAAAUUGAAUCUGUACAGGGGUAAUACCAAUGACCAUAUAACACUGUUAUUUUCCAAAUAAGACUUGAAAGCACAUAUUGGUGACUUUUAAGGCAGAUUUAUGGUAUACCGCCAUCUUUGACUGUACUUUUGCAGUACACAAUCAGUCUAAUUAUUUGCCCAAAUCUGCAAAUUUGUAGACUGAUGCUCAAUUUUAUUGGUGAUAUUGUUUAUUUAUUUGUAGAAAACUUGCUGAUAUAUCGCAAAAUUUAUACUGGACUAAUAGGGAAAUUUUUUAUUUAACUUGUAGCAAUAAAAAAAUUCCAUUGAACAUGGAAAAUGAUAGUGCGAGUGGGGCAUCUGUGUACUUUGGACACAUUCUUGUUUUAUGAUUAGUCUGAGUUAAUUUAGUCGAAUUUCAACGACUUGUAGCUUGGAAAAUAGCAACAGAGACCCAUCCUUUUUAUAAUAUUUUUUGAAAGAACAUAGUCAAAUCUUCAUUUUGGCAAAGUAUUAGAAAGUUCUAUCCCAGAAAACUUAUACCUAUGAUUAUUAAAUAAUAUUAUAUUAUAAGUGUUUUUGAUAACUUAAAAUGAUUUACAGCAAGCAGGUAAAUUCAUAAAGAUUAUAAAUAUAGUGUCAAUAAGUGUGUAUUUGUUUGUACAUCCAACAUGGCGACCAUGUCACAUGGUAUAUAUGGGUUAUCCUUGGUUGCCAUGUUGAAUGUAAACAUCAUAUUUAUAAAGAUGAUCUUUAUGAACUUACCUGCUUUUUAUAUAUCAAUUUAAGUUAUCAAAUUACACUUAUAAUAUAUAAUACUAUUUAAUAAUCAAUGUUUAAAAGUAACCAAUAUGUGCUAAUAUUAAAAUUUCAAGUGUUAUUCAGUCAUUACAACUGUUAUUCGGAUGAUAACAGUUUUUCGGUCAUUGAGGUACCCUCUGUUCAGUACUGGCAGUAGGUACUAAGUCAUUCCUAAACAGUUGAGCUAAGUAAGUACUUCUUAAAGUUUAAUAGCUCAGUGGGUACAUGUACUUACCCAUUCAUAAGCAGUUGAGCUAAGGUAGUAAUUCUUUAACAGCUCAGUGGGUUAGAGUGCUGUUAGUUAUACAGAGGUCCUGGGUUCCAGUCCCAGUGCUAAUAAAGUGAUUUUGCGAUAUAAUCAUGCUGAGAUUGCUCUGGUAAAUGUGCAAAGGCAACUGUCCCAAGGGCAAUGACAACUAACAUCAUCUAUAAAGACCAUUCUGAAGUCAAUAAUCAUGAUAAUUCAACUACAAUGUAUCAAUACAUCUCAGUUUGAUGACUAUUUUUUAUUGUGCUGCUGUCAUCAGGUUGGUUUUUUUCUAAGUUUCUGCCACAGACAUAUCUCUGUGUCCACAUUUUUUUUUGCAAAAGAAGUCAUUCAUUUGCUUUGAGGAAAAAAUGUCUAUGUGUGAACAAGGAGGACAGAAAGUAGCAAAGAAUGGCUGAAGUGCAGCUGUGCCCUAUAUUUUUGGCUAUACAGGACAUUGUUCACCUCAUCUUUUCAAUUGGGGAGAAAGAAAUUGCUUGUGAGCACUGUUUUUAAUAUGAGGCUCCUUAUGAGCUCAAGAGGUUUAUUUGUACAUGUAUUAUUGUUUAAUAUUAUCUAUUAUAUCCUACAUUUAGACAAACAGGGAAAUCUUAAACUCCCCAGAAACAAAAUUCUGGAAAAUGUUUGCUCAUCUGAUCAUAUUUGUAGAAAAUUGUAUGCUUCUGUAUAUAUGUUUUACAAUAAAUAUCCAAAAGAAACAAAAAAAAAGAAAAUAAAAGGUUUCAUUGAUAGCCUUGUUGUUGAAGAUGUCAGAGAAAUUAGUGGUUUGACCCUGCAAAUAAACCCUAUUGCCAUGUAUGCUCCUUAUACUAUAAUAAAGAUAUUAUAGCCUCUUUUAUAGUAGGCCCGAAAAAAAUUUUGGGCGAGGUCUGGGGGGGGCCCAGUAGCUUUGAGGAAAAUAAACGCCCAGAAAUCAUGCAUUCUGAGCGUUUCCCAGACUCCGUCUUGCAUUGAAACGCUUAAUUAAUUUUUUAGAUAUUUUUAUUUCGACAUCAGGUCCCAAAGCAAAAACCAAAGGUUCAUUGUAUUAAAGAUUUUUAGGUAUUAGAGACAACAUUAAAAGACCGAUAUGUAGGAUUAAAGCCAAAAAUCGUAAUUCUCAUAAUAUUAAAUACCGUAUCUGUCUGUCUGUUCUGUAUGGGGGAUUAGACUUCGGGAAUUUUUUUAUGACUAGAUUUAAAAUAGUGACAUUGCAGAUUAUACUUUAAGUACUAGUACUGCUAAGUCCACCACUUACUGACUAAGGGGACCAUCUUCACCUUGUUUUACAUCUUUUACGGUUCUGAUCAAUGAUUCGUUAAAAAGUAUUGUUGAAGACCUCCGGCAACUAUCCAAAGUAUGAAGAGCAGGAACACAAGCUUUGACCAUUGAUCAUUUGAAUUUUUCUAUGCAUUGACUUUGUGUGCAAUUAUGUUCCAUACUGCCUUUAUUGAUCUGUGUAAAGGUUCUCAACACGACUUAAUGCAAGGCUUAAAACCUUUCAUGGUAAAAGGUCAUAAUUGCCAAUACCUUUGUUUUUUUUUCCAUCAAUUAUGAACGGGAAGUAUUGACCUUACUUUAAUUUAAACCAUGCAGCUAUCUUGUUUUAUUUACAAUAAAACAAACUGAUUUUGUAUUCUUGAUUAUCAAUUUCAAUUAUCCAUGCAGAAAGGGACAAAUUUUUUUGUCGUCUCACUGAGUAAGCAUGCAUGUUCUUAAAAUAUAUUCUUGCACAAUUCUGGACAGCAACAUUGCAAAACCAUGUUUACAAAUGAAAAUCAACACUCAGGACUAUAGUCAUAAAAGUAUAGGACAAUAAAUGAACAAAAAGACAAAACCCGAACACAGAAGUACAAACAAUAGACAAUCAACUCUGAAAACUAAAAAGUAAAAUAGAAACAUGGAUAACGAAAAACAUCAAGGGAUACACCAGAGAGUGAGGAGAAACUUGCUUCUUGCAACACCUUUCCGUGAAAAACAAUUUAAUAUGAAACAACAUUUUUUCAUUUUUUUUUUUUGAAAUUUUUACAUUAGCAUGUGCCUCAUUUGCCUCAAAUAGUUACGGCCCUGUAUUCUCCUAUUGGUAUAAUAAAAAUAUUAUAUCUUAUUUUGGAAUUAACAUGCAUGCAGUUUGCAAACAUAUUUUUUUUUUCUCAGGCAAAGCUGUAGUAUAAAAAUUUCAUAUGACUUGUGUAUAUAUGUUCUUGCUUUUUCAUUAUUUAAUCAUUUAUUUAAAAUUCUGGUAUAAUUUUUACCACUUUCAUAAUUGCACACAAAUUAGAAUGAAGUAUUAUAAAGUUUUUUUAUUUGCAGGAACACAUUAAACCUUUGUCAAAAAUGUUCCUUCUUCAACUUACCACUACAGACAGUAAUGAUCUCAAGUCGUCAGAAUUCCAAUAGAACAUCUGUAUGUCGUGUGAAGAGAUCUAUCUUUAGACAAAUGUAUCCUACCACUUUAGUUUUACCAGAUGGAGCAACAAUUAAUAUCAGAUAUCAUGAACCUAGAAGAAUAAUAAAGGUAAUUUCUGUUACAUAUUGCCAAAUAUAUAAUGAUUGUGAAAACAAAUAAUUGUAGAAAUGCACAUAUAUUAUCAUAUACAUGUACAUGUGAACUAAACUCAUUUUGCAUGAAAUUAUAAGUGAUUAUUAUAUUGUUCUUGAGGAGUUGAUUUUCAAGUGAUGAUUGUCCCAGUUGGCUAUAUCAACCCCAACAGACUUGUUGCAGUAUUAAUCAUAGAACAAGUUUACAUAAAAACAAAGACAAUACAC
rnacentral:lncRNA from 1 species